rnacentral:rRNA from 1 species
CACAAGCGGUGGAUCAUGUUGUUUAAUUCGAUGAUACGCGAAGAACCUUACCAGGUCUUGACAUCCCCCGCGAUGCUUUAGAGAUAAAGCGGAGGUAUUCGGGGAGACAGGUGGUGCAUGGUUGUCGUCAGCUCGUGUCGUGAGAUGUUGGGUUAAGUCCCGCAACGAGCGCAACCCUAUUGCUAGUUACCAUCAUUAAGUUGGGGACUCUAGCGAGACUGCCAGUGAUAAACUGGAGGAAGGUGGGGAUGACGUCAAAUCAUCAUGCCCCUUAUGACCUGGGCUACAAACGUGAUACAAUGGCUGGAACAAAGGGAUGCGAAGCAGUGAUGUGGAGCGAAACCCAUAAAAACAGUCUCAGUUCGGAUUGAAGUCUGCAACUCGACUUCAUGAAGUCGGAAUCGCUAGUAAUCGCGGAUCAGAACGCCGCGGUGAAUACGUUCUCGGGGUUU